UUUAAUAUUAAUUAAAUUAUUUUGUUUAAAAUUUUAUAUUAUAAUAUACUAUUUUAUUAAUUCAUAUUGUUGUAAAAUGUUUAUAUAUGUGUUAGUUAUUUACAAAAUUUUUAUGAAUUCAAAAUUAGUUAUGACAAAUAUAAGGACCAUAUUAUAAAAUACAAAUAGUUUUGAAGUUGAGUUUGAAGUUGAGUUUGAAGUUUUGCUUUUGGAGAAUAACACCUUUGAACUUCAAAUAUAGAGUUUUGGAAACUUCAAUAUAGAGUUCCUUUUUGGAGAUGCUCUUACUCGUAGCUUUUUUUUUUAAAUGAUGUUGUUUACCAAAGAUUUCUAAAAUUAGCGACGAAAUUCUGUAGGUAGUAGAAUUAUUGUAACGGAAAAUCAAAAAAAAAAGCAAGCUAAUUAAGUCUUGGAACUAUACACUUUUGUGUAUUAGAGCAUGAUUCAACCAAUCAGGGAUAAUCAGAUGAAAAGAUUAAAGAGAUUAAGAGAUUCUAGUGAGAGAAUAAAGAGAGAGAGACUCAAAACUCCAUUAAUUAAUAACUGAUGAGGUUUACAAGUAUUAAUAGAGAGAGCAACAAGGAAAUUCGAAAUGGUUAAGCAUGUGUAGUCAAAGGACAGGCUGGAACUCCUUUUUAAUCACUUGGCUGUGCUUUCUCACAUGCUUGCACUAGUAUAAAGGUAACUUCUCCUUUCCAGCAUCAUACAGGCUGUCAAAGUGAUCCCUUAUCCUUCCUUAACCUCCCUUAUCCUCUUUGGUCGAAUUUCCUCUCUUCUCUUCACUGAGUUACCUUCUCAUCCCAUCAGAUAACUUCCCCAAGUAGUUACUGUGGUUAAAAUAAAGUUACCACAGUAAAACUCUAAAGUUACUGUCUCAGCCUCCUUGGUCUUCAUCUCAAUACUCCCCCUCAAGCUUGACCAUGUAGAACAAGUCAAGCUUGGAAACCAUGAAGACCUCCCUCGUUAAAAACCUCACCAAGUAAAACCCAUUGGGAUAAAACCUUGAUGAGGGAAAAAGAGUGGAGACUCCAUGGUUAAGGGGCUCAGCUCCUAGGAGUCAGAUCAAUGAGUCCAAGCCUUGACAGUAUGGACUCCAUUGUCUUCAAUCUCGCUGCCUUAGUAAACACAUCUGCAAGCUGAUCUUCACUUCUUGUAUAACAUGGCAGAAUCACUCCUAAGAUGAUCAUCUGCCUCACCUUAUGACAAUCCACCUCUAUGUGCUUUGUUCUCUCAUGAAACACUGAGUUGGAGGCAAUGUGGAUAGCUGCUUGAUUGUCACAAUGCAUAGUCAUAGGAGUACUCUGCUCAAUCUCUAGAUGCUUCAAGAUCCCCUUGAUCCACACCAACUCGUUUGUCAGCUUCAGCAUGGCUCUAUACUCAGCUUCAGCACUUGAACAAGAGAUAACCUUCUGCUUCUUACUCUUCCAAGUAACCAAGUUUCCUCCAAUGAAUGUACAAUACCCAGUAGUUGAUCUCUUGUCCACUCUAUCUCCUGCCCAAUCAGCAUCACAAUACCCAACCACUUCUGUACUGCCAUUACAACCCAUCCAAACUCCUUAUCCAGCCGUCCCACUCAGAUACCUCAGUAUCCUAUCAACCAUCUUCCAGUGAUGGACCUUUGGCGCCUGCAUAUGCUGACUCACUUGGUUCACAGCAAAACAUAUAUCUGGUCUGGUGAUGGUCAAGUAGAUCAGCUUGCCAACCAUCUUCCUGUAUAGCUUAGGAUCUUCAAACAGCUGCUUCUCUUCAACCUCCCCCUCACGCAGAACUUUAUAUCCCUCCUCAAGGGGUGUCUUAGCUAUCUUUCCUCCAAGCACAUCAGUCUCCUUCAACAUAUCCAUAGUAUACUUCCUUUGAGACAUAAACAAACCCUCCUUUGAUCUGCAUAUCUCAAUGCCCAGAAAAUACUUCAUCUCUCCCAAAUCCUUGAUGUCAAACACAGAUUUGAGAAACUCCUUAGUAGCCUGAAUCCCUGCCUUAUCACUUCCUGUGAUAAUCAAAUCAUCCACAUACACUAGAAUCACAAUGCUCCCUGAAGGUCCUGUCAAGGUGAAGAGAGUGUGAUCUAGUUCAGACUUCCUAAAGCCUCUCCCAUUGAGUGUUGUACUCAGCUUCCUGUACCAAGCUCUAGGUGACUGUUUCAACCCAUAUAUUGCCUUCUUCAAUCUCAAAACAUUCCCUGGCUUUACUAGAUGCUCAAGACCAGGAGGUGGAUGCAUGUAUACUUCAUCUUCAAGUUCACCUUGCAAGAAAGCAUUCUUCACAUCCAUUUGCCACAAAUCCCACUCCAAGUUUGUUGCAAUAGAUAACACAAUUCGAAUUGUGUGAAGCUUGGCCACUGGUGCAAAAGUAUCAAUGUAAUCUUCCCCAUAAGUCUGUGUAAAUCCUCUUGCAACCAGCCUAGUCUUGCGCCUAUCUAUCUCCCCAUUUGCAAGGUACUUGAUGGUGAAGAUCCAUCUGCUUGAAACUGCCUUCUUCCCUUUAGGUAACUCACUCUCAUACCAAGUAUCAUUCCUGAUCAUUGCAUCCCUUUCAUCUCCUACUGAAUCUCUCCAAACCUUGUGCUUCAUAGCUUCUUCAUAAGAUCUUGGUAUCUCAUUCUCAUCCAAGUUACACAUAAACACCAUGUGCUCUUCUGGAAACUCAGCAAAGGAACACACGGCUUGAGAGGGAUGCUCCACAGCCUGGGCAUUGUAGUACACUCUCGUGUUUACCCAGUUGGAAGGAUCCCUCCUUAUCCUUGUGCUCCUCCGCAAGGUCUCAACCUGUUCUUCAGCCUGAACAUUCUCUUGUGCUUCCUCUCUUAAACCAGUAGGUUCUCCCUGCUCAUUUCCACCUGACUGAGCUUCACUCUCUACUUUCUGUGUCUCCUCCUGAUCAUGCUGACCUGAAUCCUCUUGGUUAUGCUCCUGCUCCCCUGAUUCAGAUCCAUUCCCCCUCUCAUGAUCAAGAGGGGUUGUUCCUCCAGCUUCUCCAGCUUGAUUAGAAGGUCCGGUUCUUCCUGAUUCCUGAUCUUGGGAUAAUCCUAUCCCUAGCCUCUCCAACAACACUCUCAAUGUUGUUGCCUUCUCUGAUGGAGUUCGGGACAGAUCCUCUAGGUCUUCCCAUUUCUUCUCCUCAUAAUACCCUUUAGACUCAACAAACUUCACUUCUCUAGAUACCAUAACCCUCCUAGUUAUUGGAUCAUAACAUUUGUAGCCUUUCUGAGUGAUUGAGUACCCAAUGAACAUAGCUUUAGUACUCUUUGCUUCUAGCUUGUUCCUUCUUUCUCCGGGAAUCAUCACAUAACAUAAGCACCCAAAGACUCUCAAAUGAUCAAUGUGUGGCUUGGCCUUGUUUAAUACUUCAAAGGGAGACAGUUUCUUCAAGACCCGGGUUGGCACUCUAUUGAUGAGAUAGCAAGCAGUCUGAACAGCAUCACUCCAAAACUUCUUAGGGACAUUCAUGUGGAACAUUAUUGAUCUCGCAACCUCCAUCAAAUGUCUGUUCUUCCUCUCAGCCACCCCAUUUUGUUGUGGUGUGUAAGGACAGCUAGUUUGUUGCACAAUCCCAUGCUUUGCAAGAUGACUCUUGAAAGCAUUGCUAGUGUAUUCUCCUCCAUUAUCAGACCUCAGAAUCUUCACAGUGGCAUUGUACUGGUUAGUAACAUAUGCUUGGAAGUUCAUGAAGGCUUCCAGGACUCUGUCUUUGGAGGGAAUCAUGGUGAUCCAUGUGUACUUGGAAUUCUCAUCAAUGAAAGUCACAAAGUACUUAUGGCUAUCUCUAGACAUACAGGGAGCUGUCCACACGUCUGAAUGCACCAGAUCAAAGCAAUUCUCAUAUCUGGUUUCUGAUGUUGGGAAGACAGUCCUACAGUGCUUUCCAAGUAUACAAGCUUCACACUCCAAGUGAUUGAACGCCAUCCUUGGUAGAAUCAGUUCAAUUGCCUUGGCAUGAGGAUGUCCCAGCCUUGCAUGCCAUGUGAGAUUAUCACACCUAUCCGUUGUGCUGCUUAAACACACAGACUCCACAGGACUAGGCGCCUCAGUUGUUUGGAGAUGAUAGAGCUGAUGCUUGCUGUCUCCUCUUCCAAUAACUCUUCCAGUCUUCAAAUCCUGGAACUCAACUUCAUUUGGUCUGAAAACCACUUGACAAUCCAGAUCAACUGUAGCCUUCUUAACUGAGAUUAGAUUGGAUGUAAACUGAGGUAGGUAGAAGGCAGUGGAGUUCUUCUCAAACAGCUUGAGGUUUCCCACUCCUUCUAUUGGGAUCCUGGUACCAUUGGCUAUCAUGACACUCCCUGUUGCUGCUUUAACCUCACUGAUUAGUCUCUUGUCACUGAUCAUGUGGUGUGUUGCUCCAGAGUCAAUGAUGAUGGGUUUAGAUGUGGAUGCUUUGGCAGGAGCACCCAGACUCCGGGUUGUAGCCAAAGCAUACACAUGCUUAACCAACUCAUCCCAUUCCUUCUUUGUCACACACUCAUCUGCCCUCUUGGUAUCCAUUUCUCUCAUGUCCGCACUGUCUCCUACUGUCUCUCCCAUGUAAGCUGAGUAUGAACACUCUCCUAUAACCAUCUGCUGAAGUACAUCCUUGCUUCUCUUCAAGAUUACACUCAUCCUGUCACUUAAGUGCUCAGACUCGCUAUCCUUUCUCCAUGCCCUUCUCUUCAUUAACCACUCCUUAGAAAGUUUUCUCAACCUUCCCCUCUUACAGCUUGUACCUCCCUUCCAUCUUUCUGGCUUCCUGUUCAUUUCCCACACAUCACAAGUAUAUUUAACAAGCUCACAUACCUCUUCCAUAAGGAAGCUGAAGAUCACAUCUUGCUUCCUCCUUUCUUGACAACAUCUCGGAUUUGAUGUGUGUGUCUUCACCACAUCUAGCUCUGACCAUACUUCUCUCAGCCUUCCCACAAGCUGAUAACACUCAUCCUUUCCUUGUCUCAAGCCGCGGAUCACCCCUCUGUCCUCAACGACUCUCACAAGCUUGGACUUGCCUAAAGUUGCUUCAAUCUCACUCUUUGUAGUGUUUCCUUGAACAACUUCAUUUCCCAGCUUCAGACCUCUUGUCUGACCUUCUUCAGUAGCCAUUUCCAUGAAAGGUUUCCCUUUUCCAUGACUACUCCAUAACCCACAGCUUUCCAAAGCUCUCUUUGCCCAUCUUGACCAAUCGCCAUCCCUCUCUUCUUCAAGCUCCAUGGUUGUACUAGAUCUGUGCUUCAUUUCCAUGUUGAGAUAGUUUGAAUCCAUCAGAAUAUCUCACACCACUCAGAUAAUAAAGACCAGAACUCAAGAACACCAAGAACACUCAAGAACCCUCAAGAACACUCAAGAACACCCAGAUUUUAUGAAAAACGAAAUCACACUCUCCCCUUUUUAGCAACCUGGCUCUGAUACCAUAUACACUUUUGUGUAUUAGAGCAUGAUUCAACCAAUCAGGGAUAAUCAGAUGAAAAGAUUUAAGAGAUUCUAGUGAGAGAAUAAAGAGAGAGAGACUCAAAACUCCAUUAAUUAAUAACUGAUGAGGUUUACAAGUAUUAAUAGAGAGAGCAACAAGGAAAUUCGAAAUGGUUAAGCAUGUGUAGUCAAAGGACAGGCUGGAACUCCUUUUUAAUCACUUGGCUGUGCUUUCUCACAUGCUUGCACUAGUAUAAAGGUAACUUCUCCUUUCCAGCAUCAUACAGGCUGUCAAAGUGAUCCCUUAUCCUUCCUUAACCUCCCUUAUCCUCUUUGGUCGAGUUUCCUCUCUUCUCUUCACUGAGUUACCUUCUCAUCCCAUCAGAUAACUUCCCCAAGUAGUUACUGUGGUUAAAAUAAAGUUACCACAGUAAAACUCUAAAGUUACUGUCUCAGCCUCCUUGGUCUUCAUCUCAAUAGGAACAUGGAUUUUGAUUGCUUGAGUUGCAACUCAAGUUAGGUUUUCUUUCCUUACAACCCAACUGUUUGAAUUGUAACCCAAAUUAUUCUUUCUCUGCUCCUCAAUCACAUUGGAGUAAAGAGCCAGUGGUGAUGGAUUAUCGUACCGUCGAUUCAUAAAAAAAAAUUUAAGAGCAAUAGAACUUAGUUUUACACACAAACCUUAAACUUGAAGCUUCCUGCAGCUAUCGCCGAUUAUUUUGUAAGAUAUUUUUUUUCAAAGACGUGUAUAAAAGAAUGAUAAUACUUAGAAAAUGGAAGAAGAAGAAGCAUUGGCGUAUGUAAGCAUGGCAUGGCUAAGCACAACUCAUGCUCAGAAAGGUCUCACACCCACGUCCCACGGCGUCUCCAGCAUAUUAUCUCAAAUAGGAUUUUUCUUCUUCUUUAUUAUUUAUUGCAGUUUUGGUCAAAUAUUU
rnacentral:lncRNA from 1 species